GGAGUAUGUGUAAAUGUACUUGGCGAAUAGGUCAUUAUCAAAAACGUCAUGAAGACAAUAUUCUAUUUUUUUGCUGGUGGGCAGCUUCAAACUACAUUUCAAUGGAAGCUAAUGUUGCUAGAUAUGGUAGAGAUGGCGGUGUCAGAAUACUUAAAAAGGGCUCAAUACGAGGAAAGAGACAGGUGAACCAAUAGCAGCAAAUGUCAGGCCCUGCUUUGAGGACCUAGGUGAUGGUGAAGGCAGAUGGAGAGGUGAUGUGGCAGGCUAAGGUGUAUGGCAGGGUUGGCAGAGUCAUGUUACCAUGUUGGAGCCCUGUUAUACGCAGUGGAGGAAGGCGACCCCAUGCGAGAAUCGGUCACAUGCACGAUGGAACGGAGCAGCUGGCUGAUGCUUGCACAUGUAAAAAAGAUACCAGCAGCCCCUGUAGCCAACAUCGAUUUCUUAUCUGCAAGGGCUAAGAAGAGGAGGAUGGACCAGGCAGGUUGUACAAUGGAGCAGGCAACAUCAUCUCUGUCUUGGCCUCCCAUUGUGAGUGGAUCGACAAUACUAGGAUUUUUUUUUAAAACGAAACCAAAAUGCUCCAAAAAACGUUGCUCUGAUGUUAUGCAGGUGUGUUAUUCUUUUUGAUUCUUUCUAUUAUUUUGAAUUGAACUUUGUCGGCAGGGGACAUAUUUUCCCAUUCUAAUUGUCCUUUGAGGCCAGAAUUUACGGAUUAUAUAACAAAAUGUACAUUACACAGGCUUUGUGCCCAAGUCAACAACAAAAGCACUGCCACCCUCCAUCAUGGGCUGUGCAGUUGACUCCACAACUGUGGACGACCUAUGCACAAUGACUGAAAGCCAAAUAGAGACAGUGGAGGAGGAGACAAGAAGCCAGUCUAAAUCCAAGAUCUGGUUCAGACAGCGAGCCGGACAAAUCAUUACCUCCUGCACACUGAUCCUAACAACCCUUCCAAUAGUCUUUCAAACAGCAUCAGCUACCCAGAGAAAAUUAGGUGGGAAGUAUCAAUUGAUAGAUUUAUCUCCUGAAUGUACUGAUUUGAAGUUAAAUAAAUCCCAAGAUCAAUUGCAUUCGUUACAAUAUGUCCCUGGAAGUCCCUUUAUAAAAGUGAAUGAAUUAGAAAAGAUAGCUUUUUAUGUUGUGGAGACCUUUAUAAUAUCUGUGUUGUGUUUGUUGUAGUCAUGGUUACAGGUUAUAGACAUGAAGCUGAUGCCAAACAGUAUGCAGAGGUCAUGUCCCUUGAACAUGAGAACUUUGUGGUCCAUGGCAGUGGCCUUCAGCUGAUGCCAAUUAGUCAUACAUAGGUGCCACACCUGAUGGGUUCCCUCAUUGUUACUCCUGGUGCAGGAGUCUGUGAGAUUAAGGUAAGAACGUAUACCAUACUCAAGGUAUGGUAGUGAACCACACUUAAAUGGGCAAUCAGAAGAUGAAACUAUAAUAAAUAGUUAUCCAACCCACAAAAGUUUAACUAAGCUCAUGAGGCAUUUAUAAGUUGCAGUAUAUUCUUCAAUGAUCAAUGGUUACUAGGGUUGAGUAUUUCCCAGGCAUUUUACAAAUGUUCCACCCUGAGAAUAAAUCAC
ensembl:lncRNA